GGGCCCGCACAAGCGGUGGAGCAUGUGGUUUAAUUCGACGCAACGCGAAGAACCUUACCCAGGCUUGAACUGCAGAUGACACCCUACGAAAGUAGGCUUCCGCAAGGACGUCUGUAGAGGUGCUGCAUGGCUGUCGUCAGCUCGUGUCGUGAGAUGUUGGGUUAAGUCCCGCAACGAGCGCAACCCUUGUCUUCUGUUGCCAUCGGGUUAUGCCGGGCACUCUGAAGAGACUGCCGGUGACAAACCGGAGGAAGGUGGGGAUGACGUCAAGUCAGCAUGGCCUUUAUGUCUGGGGCCACACACGUGCUACAAUGGCAGGUACAAACCGUCGCGAGACCGCAAGGUGGAGCUAAUCGGAUAAAGCCUGUCUCAGUUCGGAUUGUCGGCUGCAACUCGCCGGCAUGAAGUUGGAAUCGCUAGUAAUCGCGGAUCAGCACGCCGCGGUGAAUACGUUCCCGGGCCUU
rnacentral:rRNA from 1 species